AACGAACGCUGGCGGCAUGCCUAACACAUGCAAGUCGAACGAGACCUUCGGGUCUAGUGGCGCACGGGUGCGUAACGCGUGGGAACCUGCCUUUAGGUUCGGAAUAACUCAGAGAAAUGUGAGCUAAUACCGGAUGAUGUCUUCGGACCAAAGAUUUAUCGCCUUUAGAUGGGCCCGCGUUGGUUUAGCUUGUUGGUGGGGUAAAGGCCUAUCAAGGCUACGAUACAUAGCUGGUCUGAGAGGAUGGUCAGCCACACUGGGACUAGGACACGGCCCAGACUCCUGCGCGAGGCAGCAGUGGGGGAUAUUGGACAAUGGGCGGAAGCCUGAUCCAGCAAUGCCGCGUGAGUGAUGAAGGCCUUAGAGUUGUAAAGCUCUUUUACCCGAGAUGAUAAUGACGGUAUCGGGAGAAUAAGCUCCGGCUAACUCCGUG
rnacentral:rRNA from 1 species